rnacentral:rRNA from 1 species
UACGUAGGGGGGCAAGCGUUGUCCGGAUUUAUUGGGCGUAAAGAGCGUGUAGGCGGCCAGGUAGGUCCGUUGUGAAAACUCGAGGCUCAACCUCGAGACGCCGAUGGAAACCAUCUGGCUAGAGUCCGGAAGAGGAGAGUGGAAUUCCCGGUGUAGCGGUGAAAUGCGCAGAUAUCGGGGAAGAACACCCGUGGCUAAGGCGGCUCUCUAGUACGGUACUGACGCUGAGACGCGAAAGCGUGGGGAGCGAACAGG